AUUGAACGCUGGCGGCAUGCCUUACACAUGCAAGUCGAACGGCAGCGCGGGAGCAAUCCUGGCGGCGAGUGGCGAACGGGUGAGUAAUAUAUCGGAACGUGCCCAGUAGUGGGGGAUAGCCCGGCGAAAGCCGGAUUAAUACCGCAUGAGACCUGAGGGUGAAAGCGGGGGAUCGCAAGACCUCGCGCUAUUGGAGCGGCCGAUAUCAGAUUAGCUAGUUGGUGGGGUAAAGGCCUACCAAGGCAACGAUCUGUAGUUGGUCUGAGAGGACGACCAGCCACACUGGGACUGAGACACGGCCCAGACUCCUACGGGAGGCAGCAGUGGGGAAUUUUGGACAAUGGGCGCAAGCCUGAUCCAGCAAUGCCGCGUGCAGGAAGAAGGCCUUCGGGUUGUAAACUGCUUUUGUCAGGGAAGAAAUCUUCUGGGCUAAUACCCCGGG
rnacentral:rRNA from 1 species